rnacentral:rRNA from 1 species
UACGGAGGAUGCAAGCGUUAUCCGGAAUGAUUGGGCGUAAAGCGUCCGCAGGUGGCUAUGUAAGUCUGCUGUUAAAGAGUCUAGCUCAACUAGAUAAGAGCAGUGGAAACUACAAGGCUAGAGUACGUUCGGGGCAGAGGGAAUUCCUGGUGUAGCGGUGAAAUGCGUAGAGAUCAGGAAGAACACCAGUGGCGAAGGCGCUCUGCUAGGCCGUAACUGACACUGAGGGACGAAAGCCAGGGGAGCGAACGGG